CGAGAAAGCCCGCAAGGGUGAGUACAGCGGCGCACGGGUGCGUAACACGUGGGUAAUCUGCCCUGAAGCCCGGAAUAACUCCCCGAAAGGGGUGCUAAUGCCGGAUGAGCCCACGGGGUCUUCGGACCCUGAGGGAAAAGGUGGCCUCUGUAUACAAGCUAUCACUUCAGGAUGAGCCCGCGGCCCAUCAGCUCGUUGGCGGGGUAAUGGCCCACCAAGGCUACGACGGGUAGCUGGUCUGAGAGGACGAUCAGCCACACUGGAACUGAGACACGGUCCAGACUCCUACGGGAGGCAGCAGUGGGGAAUCUUGCGCAAUGGGCGAAAGCCUGACGCAGCAACGCCGCGUGUGUGAUGAAGGUCUUCGGAUCGUAAAGCACUGUCGCGAGGGACG
rnacentral:rRNA from 1 species